AUUGAACGCUGGCGGCAUGCCUUACACAUGCAAGUCGAACGGUAACGGGCCUUCGGGUGCCGACGAGUGGCGAACGGGUGCGUAAUACAUCGGAACGUGCCCGAUCGUGGGGUUUAACGAGGCGAAAGCUUUGCUAAUACCCCAUACGAUCUACGGAUGAAAGCAGGUGACCGCAAGGCCUUGCGCGGACGUGGCGGCCGAUGGCAGAUUAGGUAGUUGGUGGGAUAAAAGCUUACCAAGCCGACGAUCUGUAGCUGGUCUGAGAGGAUGAUCAGCCACACUGGGACUGAGACACGGCCCAGACUCCUACGGGAGGCAGCAGUGGGGAAUUUUGGACAAUGGGCGCAAGCCUGAUCCAGCCAUGCCGCGUGCAGGAUGAAGGCCUUCGGGUUGUAAACUGCUUUUGUACGGAAAGAAAAGCAUUCUUUUAAUACAGGAGGGUCAUGACGGUACCGGAAGAAUAAGCACCGGCUAACUACGUG
rnacentral:rRNA from 1 species